rnacentral:rRNA from 1 species
GGGUUGUGAGGUUAAGCGACUAAGCGUACACGGUGGAUGCCCUGGCAGUCAGAGGCGAUGAAGGACGUGCUAAUCUGCGAAAAGCGUCGGUAAGGUGAUAUGAACCGUUAUAACCGGCGAUGUCCGAAUGGGGAAACCCAGUGCAAUUCGUUGCACUAUCGUUAACUGAAUACAUAGGUUAACGAGGCGAACCGGGGGAACUGAAACAUCUAAGUACCCCGAGGAAAAGAAAUCAACCGAGAUUCCCCCAGUAGCGGCGAGCGAACGGGGAGCAGCCCAGAGUCUGAAUCAGCUUGUGUGUUAGUGGAACGGUCUGGAAAGUCCGACGGUACAGGGUGAUAGUCCCGUACACCAAAAUGCACAGGUUGUGAACUCGAAGAGUAGGGCGGGACACGUGGUAUCCUGUCUGAAUAUGGGGGGACCAUCCUCCAAGGCUAAAUACUCCUGACUGACCGAUAGUGAACCAGUACCGUGAGGGAAAGGCGAAAAGAACCCCGGCGAGGGGAGUGAAAAAGAACCUGAAACCGUGUACGUACAAGCAGUGGGAGCACCUUCGGGUGUGACUGCGUACCUUUUGUAUAAUGGGUCAGCGACUUAUAUUCUGUAGCAAGGUUAACCGUAUAGGGGAGCCGCAGGGAAACCGAGUCUUAACUGGGCGUUAAGUUGCAGGGUAUAGACCCGAAACCCGGUGAUCUAGCCAUGGGCAGGUUGAAGGUUGGGUAACACUAACUGGAGGACCGAACCGACUAAUGUUGAAAAAUUAGCGGAUGACUUGUGGCUGGGGGUGAAAGGCCAAUCAAACCGGGAGAUAGCUGGUUCUCCCCGAAAGCUAUUUAGGUAGCGCCUCGUGAAUUCAUCUUCGGGGGUAGAGCACUGUUUCGGCUAGGGGGUCAUCCCGACUUACCAACCCGAUGCAAACUACGAAUACCGAAGAAUGUUAUCACGGGAGACACACGGCGGGUGCUAACGUCCGUCGUGAAGAGGGAAACAACCCAGACCGCCAGCUAAGGUCCCAAAGUCAUGGUUAAGUGGGAAACGAUGUGGGAAGGCACAGACAGCCAGGAUGUUGGCUUAGAAGCAGCCAUCAUUUAAAGAAAGCGUAAUAGCUCACUGGUCGAGUCGGCCUGCGCGGAAGAUGUAACGGGGCUAAACCAUGCACCGAAGCUGCGGCAGCGACACUAUGUGUUGUUGGGUAGGGGAGCGUUCUGUAAGCCUGCGAAGGUGUGCUGUGAGGCAUGCUGGAGGUAUCAGAAGUGCGAAUGCUGACAUAAGUAACGAUAAAGCGGGUGAAAAGCCCGCUCGCCGGAAGACCAAGGGUUCCUGUCCAACGUUAAUCGGGGCAGGGUGAGUCGACCCCUAAGGCGAGGCCGAAAGGCGUAGUCGAUGGGAAACAGGUUAAUAUUCCUGUACUUGGUGUUACUGCGAAGGGGGGACGGAGAAGGCUAUGUUAGCCGGGCGACGGUUGUCCCGGUUUAAGCAUGUAGGCUGGUUGUCCAGGCAAAUCCGGAUAAUCAAGGCUGAGGUGUGAUGACGAGGCACUACGGUGCUGAAGUAACAAAUGCCCUGCUUCCAGGAAAAGCCUCUAAGCAUCAGGUAACAUCAAAUCGUACCCCAAACCGACACAGGUGGUCAGGUAGAGAAUACCAAGGCGCUUGAGAGAACUCGGGUGAAGGAACUAGGCAAAAUGGUGCCGUAACUUCGGGAGAAGGCACGCUGGUGUGUAGGUGAAGUCCCUGCGGAUGGAGCUGAGACCAGUCGAAGAUACCAGCUGGCUGCAACUGUUUAUUAAAAACACAGCACUGUGCAAACACGAAAGUGGACGUAUACGGUGUGACGCCUGCCCGGUGCCGGAAGGUUAAUUGAUGGGGUUAUCCGUAAGGAGAAGCUCUUGAUCGAAGCCCCGGUAAACGGCGGCCGUAACUAUAACGGUCCUAAGGUAGCGAAAUUCCUUGUCGGGUAAGUUCCGACCUGCACGAAUGGCGUAAUGAUGGCCAGGCUGUCUCCACCCGAGACUCAGUGAAAUUGAACUCGCUGUGAAGAUGCAGUGUACCCGCGGCAAGACGGAAAGACCCCGUGAACCUUUACUAUAGCUUGACACUGAACAUUGAGCCUUGAUGUGUAGGAUAGGUGGGAGGCUUUGAAGCGUGGACGCCAGUCUGCGUGGAGCCAACCUUGAAAUACCACCCUUUAAUGUUUGAUGUUCUAACGUUGGCCCCUGACCGGGGUUGCGGACAGUGUCUGGUGGGUAGUUUGACUGGGGCGGUCUCCUCCCAAAGCGUAACGGAGGAGCACGAAGGUUAGCUAAUCCUGGUCGGACAUCAGGAGGUUAGUGCAAUGGCAUAAGCUAGCUUGACUGCGAGCGUGACGGCGCGAGCAGGUGCGAAAGCAGGUCAUAGUGAUCCGGUGGUUCUGAAUGGAAGGGCCAUCGCUCAACGGAUAAAAGGUACUCCGGGGAUAACAGGCUGAUACCGCCCAAGAGUUCAUAUCGACGGCGGUGUUUGGCACCUCGAUGUCGGCUCAUCACAUCCUGGGGCUGAAGUAGGUCCCAAGGGUAUGGCUGUUCGCCAUUUAAAGUGGUACGCGAGCUGGGUUUAGAACGUCGUGAGACAGUUCGGUCCCUAUCUGCCGUGGGCGCUGGAGAAUUGAGGGGGGCUGCUCCUAGUACGAGAGGACCGGAGUGGACGCAUCACUGGUGUUCGGGUUGUCAUGCCAAUGGCACUGCCCGGUAGCUAAAUGCGGAAGAGAUAAGUGCUGAAAGCAUCUAAGCACGAAACUUGCCCCGAGAUGAGUUCUCCCUGAGACUAUAAGUCUCCUGAAGGAACGUUAAAGACGAUGACGUUGAUAGGCCGGGUGUGUAAGCGCAGCGAUGCGUUGAGCUAACCGGUACUAAUGAACCGUGAGGCUUAACCUUACAACGCCGAAG